AACGAACGCUGGCGGCAUGCCUAACACAUGCAAGUCGAACGAGACCUUCGGGUCUAGUGGCGCACGGGUGCGUAACGCGUGGGAAUCUACCUUUAGGUUCGGAAUAACUCGGGGAAACCCGUGCUAAUACCGGAUGAUGUCUUCGGACCAAAGAUUUAUCGCCUAGAGAUGAGCCCGCGUCGGAUUAGCUAGUUGGUGAGGAAAGGCUCACCAAGGCGACGAUCCGUAGCUGGUCUGAGAGGAUGAUCAGCCACACUGGGACUGAGAACACGGCCCAGACUCCUACGGGAGGCAGCAGUGGGGAAUAUUGGACAAUGGGCGAAAGCCUGAUCCAGCAAUGCCGCGUGAGUGAUGAAGGCCUUAGGGUUGUAAAGCUCUUUUACCCGGGAUGAUAAUGACAGUACCGGGAGAAUAAGCCCCGGCUAACUCCGUGCCAGCCGCCGCAGUAACAC
rnacentral:rRNA from 1 species